rnacentral:rRNA from 1 species
UACGGAGGUGGCAAGCGUUGCUCGGAAUCACUGGGCGUAAAGGGCGCGUAGGCGGGGAGGUAAGUCGGGUGUGAAAUCCCUUGGCCCAACCGAGGAACUGCGCCCGAGACUGCUUCUCUUGAGGUCCCGGAGAGGAAGGUGGAAUUCCCGGUGUAGCGGUGAAAUGUGUAGAGAUCGGGAGGAACACCGGUGGCGAAGGCGGCCUUCUGGACGGUGACUGACGCUGAGGCGCGAAAGCGUGGGGAGCAAACGGG